rnacentral:ncRNA from 1 species
GAUAAUUUGCUUGUGGCAGCCAAGUGUUCAUAGUGGCAUUGCUUUUUGAUCUUUCAACAUCAACUCUUCCUAUCAUUGUGAAGCAAAAUUCACGAAGUGCUGAAUUGUUCACCCACCGAUAGGGAAUAUGAGCUGUGCCGCAAUAGUAAUUUAACUG